CGGUGUUUAACUGGCGUGAUGUGGGACGUCCUACCGGUGGGCUUAGCCUCGCGAGGGGCGGCCCAACUAAUAUCCCGUCGCGGUGCUCUUUACUGAGUGUCGAGUCGGGCCGGUAUGUUUACUUUGAACAAAUUAGAGUGCUUAAAGCAGGCUAUCCUCGCCUGAAUACUGCGUGCAUGGAAUAAUGGAAUAGGACCUCGGUUCUAUUUUGUUGGUUUUCGGAACCCCGAGGUAAUGAUUAAUAGGGACAGAUGGGGGCAUUCGUAUUGCGACGUUAGAGGUGAAAUUCUUGGAUCGUCGCAAGACGGACAGAAGCGAAAGCAUUUGCCAAAAAUGUUUUCAUUAAUCAAGAACGAAAGUUAGAGGUUCGAAGGCGAUCAGAUACCGCCCUAGUUCUAACCAUAAACGAUGCCAGCUAGCGAUCCGCCGAAGUUCCUCCGAUGACUCGGCGGGCAGCUUCCGGGAAACCAAAGCUUUUGGGUUCCGGGGGAAGUAUGGUUGCAAAGCUGAAACUUAAAGGAAUUGACGGAAGGGCACCACCAGGAGUGGAGCCUGCGGCUUAAUUUGACUCAACACGGGAAACCUCACCAGGCCCAGACACCGGAAGGAUUGACAGAUUGAUAGCUCUUUCUUGAUUCGGUGGGUGGUGGUGCAUGGCCGUUCUUAGUUGGUGGAGCGAUUUGUCUGGUUAAUUCCGAUAACGAACGAGACUCUAGCCUGCUAAAUAGGCGUACCUUAUGGUAUCGCGAAGGCCCCCGGCUUCGGCCGGUGGGUUUUUACUACCAACGUACAAACAAAUCUUCUUAGAGGGACAGGCGG
rnacentral:rRNA from 1 species